UUUGGAAUAUUGCACAAUGGGGGAAACCCUGAUGCAGCGACGCCGCGUGGAGGACGAAGGAUCUAGGUCUGUAAACUCCUUUUGCCAGGAAAGACUUAGGACGGUACCUGGCGAAUAAGCCCCGGCUAACUACGUGCCAGCAGCCGCGGUAAGACGUAGGGGGCGAGCGUUGUCCGGAUUUACUGGGCGUAAAGAGCGCGUAGGCGGCUAGUUAAGUGAGAAGUGAAAUCUCCAGGGCUCAACCCGGAAACUGCUUUUCAUACUGGCCAGCUGGAGGGACGCAGGGGUGACUGGAAUUCCCGGUGUAGCGGUGAAAUGCAUUGAUAUCGGGAGGAACUCCAACAGCGAAGGCAGGUCACUGGGCGUUUCCUGACGCUGAGGCGCGAAAGCGUGGGUAGCAAACAGGAUUAGAAACCCUGGUAG
rnacentral:rRNA from 1 species